UAUAUACUCCCUCCGUCCGAAAAUACUUCUCAUCAAAAUGGAUAAAAAGAGAUGUAUCUCGAACUAAAAUAUGUCUACAUACAUCCCCUUUUAUAGUAUUUCCGGACGGAGGGAGUACAAG
rnacentral:pre_miRNA from 1 species